GGGAAAGGUGAAAAGAACGCCGAGAAGGCGAGUGAAAUAGUACCUGAAACCGUGUGCCUACAAUCCGUUGGAGCCUCCCUAGCAGGGGUGACAGCGUGCCUUUUGAAGAAUGAGCCUGCGAGUUAGUGAUGCGUGGCGAGGUUAACCCGUGGUGGGGGAGUCGUAGCGAAAGCGAGUCCGAUAAGGGCGUGAGUCGCGUGUUCUAGACCCGAAGCGGUGUGAUCUAUCCAUGGCCAGGAUGAAGGUGCGGUAACACGCACUGGAGGUCCGAACCGAUUAACGUUGAAAAGUUACCGGAUGAGUUGUGUUUAGGGGUGAAAGGCCAAUCAAGCCGGGAAAUAGCUGGUUCUCCGCGAAAACUAUUGAGGUAGUGCCUCGAGCGGACACCAUGGGGGGUAGAGCACUGGAUGGUUGCGGGCUGCGCGAGCGGUACCAAUACUAACCAAACUCCGA
rnacentral:rRNA from 1 species